UUCAGUUUGGAACGUUGCAGACCCCGGAUCAGACCAUUGACACCCCAGAGCACAGACCCCGGAUCAGACCACCGACACCCCAGAGCACAGACCCCGGAUCAGACCACCGACACCCCAGAGCACAGACCCCGGAUCAGACCACCGACACCCCAGAGCACAGACCCCGGAUCAGACCACCGCCUCCCCAGAGCACAGACCUCCCCAACACAUGACCCACUUUUUAAAAGACCAGGCUGAUCCUGCCCAUGCACUACAGACAACCAGAGGUGAGGUUGUGCGAAGCUGCAGUAAAACUGCACCUGAGCCUCUUACAUGUGGGGGUUACCUGGCAAUACUUAACAACAGCAAAAAUGAAAACUCUACUCACUCGCAGCAAACGAUACCUACAGGGAAAGCCCUUAGGUGGAGGAGCCGACACUCACUGCAGACUCCAACCUGAUCUUAGUGCUAAACCUUCCGGAAACGAGACAGAGCAGGGCGGGCCCAGGACGGCCCACUGCAGGGACGCACCCUGGGGGCAAGCGGCUCUGCUGCUGCGUCUCCACCAAGUACGCCAUCGCCACCUUUCCAGGUGAGCACGCUCCUCCUGGGAACAAGCAGCGGGAACUGUAAGUCAGGACGGAGAAAGCGCGAGCGGGCGACCUACGGUGUGGUGAGUCCAGCAGUCGCCCGGGGCAGUGGGCGGCGCGACUUUGCCAUGGGCUUGCCCUGGGCCAUCUGUCCGUGGUUCGAAUGGAGUGCAGCUGGGAAGGACAGGUGAACCGGCGACCGUCAGUCACUCAGCACUGCACCGUCCUGCCAGGCAACUGCCCCUUCCCAUGGCUAAGGUACCUCCGAGGGAGCGCGUCUGCUCGGGCAGCGCCGAGUUCUCAGAGUCAAUUUCAACAGGCUGGAGGCCACGUGGGGACGAGGCGUGUGGCAGACACCUGUCCUGGCUCGGCAGCAGCGCUCAGGUGGCCAGUCCAGGCCAAGCCCUGAAGUGCUGGUCUCAGCCAUCGUUCCUUCCUCCAGCUAAAACAGGCUCCGGCCCAGGACCCGGCCAGGCGCUGGGCAGUCACUAACGGCCGCAGAGCAGGGCUCGGGGCUGGGACGGAGUUCAUGCCCGAGCCGCGAAGCCGGGACCAGCACCCCCAGACGGGACGCUCAUCCUAUGCAGAACCUGCCUCUGGAUGGGGGAGGGAAAUGCUGAGCUGUCACUUCUUCUGCCUGAGAGUAGGCGGGACUUAACUCUUAGUACGGUUAAAAACCAAAACAAAUUAGUGUGGUGACAGCCCUGGCACGAAGUGCUCCCAUAAUAAAUAGUGACUUAAACAAAAGCUGGUGUGUAGAAGUUACUCCAGAAUAAACAAAACCAACCCAGUUACACACUGUUGCCAAAGGGACAAGUAAGUUGGAGGUUAUGGGUAUUUAAAAACUGAGUCCAAACCGCCUGCCCUCGGAGCUGCACUGACAUCACCUAAACCUACUGCAACUGCCGAGCUGUCCUGACAGAAUCAGGGUGAAGCGCUGUUUAAAACGGCCAGCAAAGAAUGCGGGGACGGGAGAGGUGGGCUCCCAGGGCACCGCCCCGCGCCUCCCUUCCCAAGGCAGGAGGGGCUGUGCGAGGGGCCCUCCCGCUGCGGCACGCCACUUCCCUUCCCGGAGAGCAGGUGGGCCGUGAUAAAGCAGGAGCCUUCAGAUAAGACCUCCACGUGGUCCUUACUCCCCGCGGGCCCUGCGGCACGGCCAGCUGCCGGUCCGACUGCCGUGCUGGAGCCACACUCCAACUGCAGCGAGGUUCCAGCCAGGGGAGCCGGGGAGCCAGACACCAGGACACACCAGGCGCAGAACCUGUGCCCCAGAUCCUGAGGGGCUGGAGGUCGGGAAGGGGGGUGCGGCAUGCCCAGACCCUUCCCCCUCCUUCCCUCCACUCCCCUCUCAGCACACACACUUUCUAUCACGGAAACAAUCUUACUACUAGAUUCAUGUCUUACAGAGAUACAGACCUGGACAAACGUCCGCAGUCGGCUGUGUCCAGUGAGACUUAACAUAUGUGACAAGCCAACAAUAGAGAGCCGCAGAAGCCACAGCGUCCCAACACUCUCAGUGCUGCUACUUCUGAGGGAAGCAGAGGCAUUAACAUGGAUCUACCCUGACAUUUCUGCUGUUCCGCCCAUUUAGCAAAAAUCUCUCUUAAAAAAGAACAACCGACUGCGGUCAGUACUGGCCACCUGAGUAAGGAGCAGGACACCAGGGUGACCUCCGACUGUCUGCAUGUAACCACGCACCAGCAAGGCCUCCCCAGCCAACGCCAGGCCCGUCAUCCGGGGAGCAUUCAGGCAGGUUCCAUUUCCUCCUUAAAACUUCAGCCUUUCCCAAACUGCAAUUUUAUUAAAUAUCCUUUGCAAAUGACAUUAUUUCCGUGUAUUUGAAAAAGCACUUUCCUUCAGGAGAUUAGCAAAUACUCCUAAGAUAGGAAAGCAAAGGACAAAAUCAAGCCCUGAAACCAGAGACUGAGAUUACCAUCCCAAACCUCGCCACUCAUAACACUUUGUGCAAUGAGAGAGAACUGUGAUACAACAGGAAGCCAGCCUUUGCCUUCAAACUCAUCCUCUGCUCUUGUCCACUGCUAAGCAAAAAGGCUGCCAGGUACCGCGAUCGUGUUAGAGACCCAUGAAUGCAGCCCACUCUGAUUUCACGGCCGGCUUGCACUGGCCAGCAUAGGGCCUUAACCUACAGUGACCUCCAUCCAGGCCCGCCGUGCUGUAACUAAACAAGCGUGAACACGCGCGGCUCAAUAGGAAGCGAGUCGGACCUGCGGCUCCCGUGCGUUCCCCAGCAACCCAGUAAGAUGCUGCGUUGGUUAAGAGUGGCUGUGCACGUGGGUGGGGAUGCCAGAGAAGUGGCGAGCACAGCGUUCGAGGACCGGGCAUUUCCAAGCACCCUCGGACUGUCCUGAAGGAGGCGCACUAAGAACGAUGAGCUCAUUACUCAGCAAACGUGACAAGCGAGAUGGCCCGGUGGGAAGAGGGCCAGGGCUCCAGGGCCCACACUCGGUGCCUUCCGCUGCGAGACCAGGACCCUCGUCCCCACCGGCCCGACAGCCUGGUCUAGACACCUCACCGCGCAGGCCAGCAGUCCCUGCUCAGGUUGCUGGCAGUCACUACAGAGACAGAGAUGCAGAAAGAGGCGCUUUCCUCGCAUCUGCCUUGGAGUUCCCAGAAGGCGUCCCGGGGAAAUUCUCUCUUCUGUGUUUGAGCUAAGACGUGAAACUGGCAAUGGCAGGAAGCACCUUUCCAGGAAGGAGGCUGAGAGGGCUGAUGGACAGCGAUGCAGCCAGGCAGCAAGGGCUGACACCCUGUCUCGUACCCCACGCGAAUCACCAGCUUCUAUGUAUUUCUCAGGCUUAGAGCCCUGCUGAAAUGUCAUCUUCCCGCCCGACCCACCUGAGUCCUUUGCCGUUAGGGCCCUUAUCACAGCAGUGGGGUCACUGUUACUUGUGUGAGUACGUGGCUAACCUUCCGUGCCCCUCGCUGGACUAAAUGUAAGUGCCGUCCCUGUCCGGCCCAUGUCCGUCCUGCUCGGCUCAGUAACCCAGGGCCUGCCGAGGACGGCCCCAACCCGGAACACAGACGCGCUGUACCAAGUGAACAAGUGAAGGCUGGCCACAGAGGCCGCAGAGGCCGCAGAGCCCCAAGCCAGGAAUGGCAGCGGGGGGAGAG